rnacentral:rRNA from 1 species
UCCUACGGGGAGGCAGCAGUGGGGAAUAUUGCACAAUGGGCGCAAGCCUGAUGCAGCCAUGCCGCGUGUGUGAAGAAGGCCUUCGGGUUGUAAAGCACUUUCAGUCGUGAGGAAGGUAGUGUAGUUAAUAGCUGCAUUAUUUGACGUUAGCGACAGAAGAAGCACCGGCUAACUCCGUGCCAGCAGCCGCGGUAAUACGGAGGGUGCGAGCGUUAAUCGGAAUUACUGGGCGUAAAGCGCAUGCAGGUGGUUUGUUAAGUCAGAUGUGAAAGCCCGGGGCUCAACCUCGGAAUAGCAUUUGAAACUGGCAGACUAGAGUACUGUAGAGGGGGGUAGAAUUUCAGGUGUAGCGGUGAAAUGCGUAGAGAUCUGAAGGAAUACCGGUGGCGAAGGCGGCCCCCUGGACAGAUACUGACACUCAGAUGCGAAAGCGUGGGGAGCAAACAGGAUUAGAUACCCUGGUAGUCCACGCCGUAAACGAUGUUUACUUGAGGUUGUGGCCUUGAGCCGUGGCUUUCGGAGCUAACGCGUUAAGUAGACCGCCUCGAGACUCUU